rnacentral:rRNA from 1 species
AUUGAACGCUGGCGGCAUGCCUUACACAUGCAAGUCGAACGGCAGCGGACCUUCGGGUGCCGGCGAGUGGCGAACGGGUGAGUAAUAUAUCGGAACGUACCUUUCAGUGGGGGAUAACGUAGCGAAAGUUACGCUAAUACCGCAUAUUCUGUGAGCAGGAAAGCAGGGGAUCGCAAGACCUUGCGCUGAUUGAGCGGCCGAUAUCAGAUUAGCUAGUUGGUGAGGUAAAGGCUCACCAAGGCGACGAUCUGUAGCGGGUCUGAGAGGAUGAUCCGCCACACUGGAACUGAGACACGGUCCAGACUCCUACGGGAGGCAGCAGUGGGGAAUAUUGCGCAAUGGGCGAAAGCCUGACGCAGCCAUGCCGCGUGUGUGAAGAAGGCCCUUGGGUUGUAAAGCACUUUCAAUUGGGAAGAAGGUUAGCGUGUUAAUAGCACGUAGCUGUGACGUUACCUUUAGAAGAAGCACCGGCUAACUCCGUGCCA